rnacentral:rRNA from 1 species
AGGGUUUGAUUAUGGCUCAGGACGAACGCUGGCGGCGUGCCUAAUACAUGCAAGUGGAACGCAUUAAUAUCACCGGAGCUUGCUCCACCGCUAUUAAUGAGUCGCGAACGGGUGAGUAACGCGUAGGUAACCUGCCUGAUAGCGGGGGAUAACUAUUGGAAACGAUAGCUAAUACCGCAUAAAAAACUCUAACACAUGUUAGAGAUUUGAAAGAUACCAUUGUAUCACUAUCAGAUGGACCUGCGUUGUAUUAGCUAGUUGGUAGGGUAGCGGCCUACCAAGGCAACGAUACAUAGCCGACCUGAGAGGGUGAUCGGCCACACUGGGACUGAGACACGGCCCAG